CCUACGGGCGGCAGCAGUGGGGAAUAUUGGUCAAUGGGCGAAAGCCUGAUCCAGCCAUGCCGCGUGUGUGAAGAAGGCCUUCGGGUUGUAAAGCACUUUCAGUGGGGAAGAAAGCCUUGGGGCUAAUACCCUCGAGGAAGGACAUCACCCACAGAAGAAGCACCGGCUAACUCCGUGCCAGCAGCCGCGGUAAUACGGAGGGUGCGAGCGUUAAUCGGAAUUACUGGGCGUAAAGCGCGCGUAGGCGGUCUGAUAAGCCGGUUGUGAAAGCCCCGGGCUCAACCUGGGAACGGCAUCCGGAACUGUCAGGCUAGAGUGCAGGAGAGGAAGGUAGAAUUCCCGGUGUAGCGGUGAAAUGCGUAGAGAUCGGGAGGAAUACCAGUGGCGAAGGCGGCCUUCUGGACUGACACUGACGCUGAGGUGCGAAAGCGUGGGUAGCAAACAGGAUUAGAUACCCGGGUAGUC
rnacentral:rRNA from 1 species